rnacentral:lncRNA from 1 species
UGCUGCCAAACCUGUACAGCUUCUUGACAUGUGACUUCAGCGGCGCAACCCUGUUGGCAGGCCCGAAUCAAGGAGGUGGAGAUGGCUUUUCAUACCAGCUAACUCAAGUCAGACCUAACUACUUUGCUAGCGGAGAGGGAAGCGGUGAUGACUGCAACAAAGGACUGAUGAAAUUCGUUGUCAUUCCUCUGUAUCGUCCUCCUUUCCCCUGAAAGCAACAAUCUGCAGCAUGCGUAAUGAAACAGUUAUCUCGCAUCUGCAACAUGCUCAAUCGAACAGUUAUCUCGCUUGAGUUUUAAUUUUUUGUAUGUAAUGGCAUGAAUACAUGCUACUAUAAUAAUGUGGCAGAAUACAAUGGAAAAGAGUGGAUACACUUAUUAAUUCAAUUUUUAUAAUCGUGUGAUAUUGUAAUAAACUAGAAAGAUUUACACAUAAAUGCAAUAGAUUGCCUGUGGUCUUUCUUUUAAGUAAGCCUGUUACAUGCAUUUGUUGUUAUUCACAGAUAUGGCCACGGAAUUUCAGUUUUCAUUUUUUUUUUGUCUACUCAGGGGGUAUCCGGGUUUCGGAUAUGUCGGACCCGUCUAAUCCUCCUGAGAUCCGAGAGGAGAGGCUCCAUCCCCUCGAACCGGUAAUCACUGGGACUCGAUCUUUGGUGGGGAAGAAUGGACAACGGUUCCUAAGAAGGUUCCCGUGACCAACCGAGCUGUCCAGGAGGGGCAGUUUUCAUUCUUUCUUUACGUUACAUGCUUUUCACACUUGAGAUCCUAUUCUUGGAUGUAUCUAAAGUAUUCUGUUUAAUACUAGUGUCAUCGUUUGAUUGCUUAUUGGCUAUAUAAUUGAAAGAUAGGGACAGUAAUAUGUCAUCAAUGGCGGAGUCAAAAUUUUAAUUUGGGGGAAAAAUUAAGUACAUAAGUUUAGAGAGCACGGACUAAAUAUCAAACCAAUUGUUUAUAUUAUUUGCAAAUAGGUCUGUCGGAUGAAUCAAGCUACUUAAAGCUCGAACUGAUAUUGGAUUUUCAAGAACUCUUUUGAGCUUAGUUGCUCAACUAAUCAAUCAAGUUUGGCUCGAUAAAAGUUCCUUUAAAUUCAACUUGAUAAAUAAAUAAGUCAAAUUUGAAUAAAAUUGGAUGAAAGCACAAUCAUUCCUGUCCCACAUUCCAAUUUUCAAAUAAAAACAUCUCAACCAUAAAUAGUUUGGAUGCAAUUGCACCUUAUAAUUUUUGAAACAAGGACAUUAAGAAAGGGACUCAUGCAUCUAUAAGCAUUUUAUCUCUUAGAUAUUUUGCGAAUUUUACAGUGUAGUAUUCUUUGAAUUUUCAAAUUUGUACCAUUUAACUUUGUUCUUUAGAUUUGUUUGUAUUUCUAUAUGGUUGAUGUAAUUUCUACCAUUAUUACAGAUUUAAUGAAUGAUGAUAUAUUUUUUUUUUUAAAAAGUAGGGAUGCGUUUCGAGGGCAGGCUUCAAAACCUUCUCACUAGGAUUUAGGCACCGUUUGGAUUGAAGAAAAGAGAAGGAAAGGAAAGAAUCAGCUCACAGAUUUUGGUGCAAAAACUAAAAAAUCAAACCAAUAUCACCACCCAAGUCUGGUUGAAAGUGUAGAAGAUAUUUUCUUGUCCUUGUCUGCCGAGGCCAUUUGUUAGACCAAGAUGGAAACAAAGCCAGUGCAGUUGGAUUGUUGUUCAAACAAUUUGGUUCGAUUGUUGUACUUUUUAUAUUAUUGGAUAUACAAUUAUAUCCCAUUAUCGUACUUAUGAAAAAAUUGAUAUAUAUGAAUAAAAUAUUCAAUAUAAUAUUAUGAUGUAAUUGUACAUUACAAAUUUGAAUAUGUACAAUAACUGCACCGAAUUGUAUAAAUCACAAUAGCACUGAGUCCUAGUCCGACGAAGACUACUAGCUAAUAGUAUUGGUUUCCAAGGGUACAUUAAACUGCCAAGAACGCUUUAGUUUAUAGUUAAGGUUAAAAUUCCAGAACUUAGAAGUCUUGUAUUAAAUCCCCCCUAUCCUCUUCCUGCUUCUCAAAUUCCAACCUUUCCUUACUUGAAAAAAAAUUAAAAAAGCACAUUAAAUCAACUUUUUGUAGGCAACGCAUGAUAUUUUUGAAGUAAUCAAAUAUCAAAUACUGGGGUGAGAUGGAAAUUGAAGCUCGGGGUUCAUUGGGACAUCAGAAUUCCCUGGAUAAUUUCGCUUCUAAAGAUACAGUAACAUUGAUGAAAAGAAGUUGUCAAGUGCUGAGCUCCCCGAGAUUCAAAAAAUUAAAUCUCUGUACUCUAAAAAAUUUUCUUCUAAAUUCUAUUGCAAAAUGAUAUUCUCCCCAGAAGUUUGUAUAACAUUUUUUAUCAAAUUUUAAUACACCGGUAAAUAUAUUUGGUCUCACGUCUAUUAUCUUUAUAGCACAGCAUCACUCGCCUAUGUCAAUUUAGACAUACUUUGAAGGGAAAUUUUUUAUAAGUAAGAUUGGUUCGGUAUGGAAUUUCAACGUUGAUCAAGGUAGUAUUUUAUUUGGGAGAUAUUUAGUUUUGGACUUCCCUAAUGUUACCAUCAAAACAAAUUUGAUCCUCAAAAUUUUUAAUUUUAAGUAAAUUUAGGAUAAUUGAUAGAAUAGUUUUGACUUUACAUUUUGUUCCACAAUAUGAGUUUCAAUUAUUAUAGUCCUUUAAAUAUUAAAUAGUGACGUUAAAAGUACAAUGCAAAUUGAAUUGGAAUUACGUUAGACUCUGUACUUAGGGCAUUGAAUUGGGUUCCUAGGAAUGUAAAUGUGCCUAUACAUUUAUUAGCUAGGAAUGCUAGUUCUAUUUUAGAUAUUUGUAGUUGGAGAUAUUCUCCACCACCUUUUCUUUCUUCUGCAAUUUCUAUGGACCUAUCCUCACCUUAAUGAAAUUUUCUAGUUUUUCUAUCAAAAAAAAAAAGCAUAGUCUUAAUUUUUUUUAAAAAAACUCUUAAUUAAGACCAUCAAAAGUUGUAACAUGACAACAAUAUACCAUUGAAAGAAAACACAUAAAAUAUCAAACGAUUAAGAAGGAAAUCAAACUUCACCUAGAUUGGGGGAGGGAUGGGUUAGGUGGCACGAUGGAAGAAAGUGUGAGUGAAAGAUUUUUGGAUUCAAAACUUUCCAUUUACACUGAAAAAAAAUUAAACAAAAAUCAGACUUCACCUAGAGAUUUACAAAUCAUGAUAACAAGGAUGGAGUUGCGACUCGUGAGUACCUUAGUUAACCAUCAUCGUUUUCUGCAUCAGGCAUCAUAAAAUUAAGCCAAUCAGAGUUCCAAUUCUCAACCUCUUGGACAAAUUGAAGUCUGCAUAACUUCCAUUUGGGACAGUAGAAAUCAAUUACAGUUUCCUACUUUCCUGUAACCAGGAAAACUGCAAGUAUUUAAAUUUAAAUUGAGAUGAUGUAAUAUACAUCCAAAUCCGUACUGACAAUGUAACAAAGAUUAAUUCUUUAUUAAUUACCUCGCACAACUUGAGAUAGGAUUUUUGGGUUGGAGGGGACUAAUUUUGGGUGGCAAUGGCUUACUAGAUGACACGGGGAUUCCGAUUGGACUGAAUGGUUUUGUUUGUUUAACUCGCCGGUCUUGAUUUAAAUAAGAUGUGUCCCAAACUAAAAAGAGCAAAUUAUUAAUAACUCUCAUGUGGUUUCAUUUUUUGCCACAUAACUCCCUUAACGUUUCAAAAUAUUCAUUUCACCUUUUAUGGUUUAAUGUAAACUGCAAAUUUAAUGAAAAAUAAUUUAUAUAACGUCAUUAGUUGAAAUACCACUAGUGCUCUUAUGUAAAUGUUAAAUCAAACAAUGACUUAACCACCACGUACAAAAUCAUAGGAGGAUUACGUGAAUAAAUGAAAUAAUCACAGGAGAAUAAAAUGGAUAUUUAUGCAAACCAUAGGGGAGGUUAAGUGGAUAUUAUUAUUUCAUCACACGCACUUUUAGACCGCUUCUAGUCUAAUUCCACUAAAUGGGAGUUAUGUGGCUAUUUUGAAACUUUAGAGCAGCAUCUGGCAUUGUGCAAAACUAUAGGAUGGUUAUAUGUAAUUUACCCAUGGAAAAUUUAUGUUAGAGUAAAAUACAAAAAAAAUCCUUGUGGUAAACCUAAUACACAGAAAAGCCCCCCAUGAAUUCAAAAUAUACAACAUGACACCCGUACUUUGAAUUAAAUUGUAAAGGUGACAGAAUCCGUUAAACUUAACGGAAAUGAUUUAUUGGAACCUAAAAAAAAAAUUACACCUAAUUUUUAACAAAUAUACCUGUUCUACCCCUUAAUUCUCAAUUCUCUCUAUCUAGAGAAUAAAACAAAUGAUUUUUUUGAGCAAUCUUUUGCUUAAUUAUAUCAGGGUAUUUUGGUCAUUUCGUCCAAUUCCGUUAAGUUUAACGGAUUCCGUCACCUUUACAAUUUAGUUCAAAGUACGGGGUGUCGUGUUAUAAAUUUUGAAACUACAGGGGGCUUUUUCUGUAUAUUAGAUUUAUCACAAGAGUUUUUUUUGUUUUUUACCCUUUAUAUUAAAAUGGGACUACAAAAUGGGUUUUGGGCUUUCAUUAAGAUGCCAAUGUUACUUGAUCCCAAAGUCCGCUUGGUUCAGAACAUUGAAAGAUUCCUUUUUUUGGAAAAAUUCAAAAUUCUUAGGCAGAACAAAUAAUACAUCCUAGCUAGGCUUCUUCUUCUUCUUAAAAAAUGCAAAAUAUUCCUAUUCGAGAAAUCGGCCGUAAUUUCUUGAGAUAAAUUUUCACCACAUGCCCAAACGUAUAGGAUUCACCACACAUGAGUCAUGCAUCAACAAUUAAAAGACCAAUGUUUAUUCAAAAUCUUCUUAUAUUGUACCUCUUCAAUCAAUCCUUUUUCACUUCUUAAUUCAAGAUAUAAAAAGAAUCUUGAAAAUGGAAACUCAUACCCAUUUUCUUUUGCAUAACAGUAGUGGACUUGCUCAACUUCUAUAAUCAUUAAUAUCACGGCCUUUACGAGUGGUAUUACUAUUUUCCUCCCAUCACGUCUUUUUUGCAUUAAUUUAUGCAAGCAAGAGAGAUGAACAUAGACCAUCAUCAAAGGUCUUAUUUUCUCACCAAGAAAUUAAUUUAGCGGCUUGCUGUCACAUUUUCCUCCUUCUAUAUCUUUCUUACUUUUCAAAAUAAAAGAGAAUUGGAGGCAAGUAAACCAAAUUGUCAACAUAAGUUAACAGAAAGCCAUUUUGAUUUUUUUAUUUUUUGUUAUAAAGUUUUCUAGAUGCACUUCCUUUCUCCAUUGUCUGACCAAUGAGAAAGAAACUGCCUUUGCUAUACCGUUUCAAAACUUCGUUGAAAUUCACGUAUCUAUCAACCCAAAUUCAGUUGCUUUUACUGACUUCCAGAGCUCCUCAUAAAGUCAUAAUUGGAUGGCCAUUUUUUAUAUAAUUUUUUUUGUAACAUCAUAAACAUAUUCUUUUAAUCUUUAUUAAAUUUCUUAAUCACCUUUUUAUAUCACAUCCUACAUCAUGAUUCCAAAAAAGUUUUUCAAAUAAUCUUCUUUCCCAACAGACAUAGUCUUCAUCUUUGAAAAAACUUAAUCAUGCAUCCUGGCUCUUAAAUUUUCCUCGUCAACCAACAACAUUACAUUUAUGCCCAGCCUUUAGGCCUUCACAAUUCUUGUAACGUAUGCAACCUUAAUUUGCUAGAAUUUCAACCGAGGGUGCAACUCAAUCGAGUAGUUCGACUCUUGUUCGUGAGUGCUCGGUCAAUAGUUCGACUCAAGUUCGGUCAAUAAUUCGAGUCAAACUCGGUUAAUGUCGAGCUCGAGUCGAGGCCGAGUUACUUGAUUGAGUCUUCAAGUCAAGCUCGAGUAUGUAUAUCAUACACUCAAGAGCUCAUCAAGCUCUAUCGAGUACUUGGUGUAAUAUUAAUUAAUAUAUUAUAAAUAAUUAAAUUACUCUUUUAAAUGGAUUAUUUGUAAUAUUUACGACCAUAACCAUAUAUUGAGUUUGGGGACUCGAACUCGAUAUUGAGCUCACCAACUUCUCGAGUUUUAUCGAUUUGAGUUUGAGCCCUCCAAAUAUUACGUCAAGUCGAGUUUGAACUUUGUUCAAACAACUUGCUCAAACUUGAGUUCAAAUUCAAAUUCUGCUAUUAGGCAUAAAGUUUGUGCUUUGAGUAUGGCAAUACUGGAGUUCGAUACGAUUCAAUAACACCCCUAAUAUCAACCUUGAAGCCUCCUCACGGUAUUAAUGAGUUGUAGACGAAUUAAACCAUACUGCGGUCAAGGGCAUGAAAAUCUAGAAAUUCUGCUGUAUAAUUUUCAACAUAGCCUAAGAAAACCGGCAACAUGAUGACCUUACACAUUCUAUCAAGUCGACAUCUGGAUAUUUUUUGAUCUUGAGAACCAGUCAACAAGAGUUGGAUCUGGUUGCCAGGAACAUCUAUAUAAACCCAGAAAUGGCAUCCCAAAUUCAUAUCAUCCGUCUGCCUAUACAUCUUAUCAUUUCUAGCUUCAUUUGAUUCGAUUACAAACAAUAGAGAUGGCCGUCAGCUUCGGUAAAGGAUUGCUUGUCCUCCUCCUAACCUUAGUAGCCACCUUAGCAAUUAGCCAAGCUGAAACAGUUGUUGUUGGAGGGUCUCAGGGAUGGCGCUACGGCUACAAUUACAAUAAUUGGGCAUCGAAUCACGGUGCCUUUUUCCUCGGCGACACACUAGGUUGGCCUUGUAUUUAUUGUCCGAAAUUUUUAUAGCUACAAAGGCUAGACUGGCGUCUCAGUUGAAUUAGAAAAUCUGAUUCGAUUCAAUUUUGAUAUAUACUUGUUGAUUAUCGUACUUUGAUUAUAUAUAUUCUAAUUUUUAAUAAUCAUUUUUUAAUGAUUUUGUUUGCUUUUACAUCUAAAUUUUAGAUUUUUUUUAAUAGCUAAAAAAGUUAAAAUACAGAAUCUAUCACAGAAUAGCUUUAACUAAUUAAUUUUGAUUAUUCUUUAUAAUUAUUUUGUAUAAUCAGCUUUUGCAAAAUAUAAAGCGCACGAGAACAAUAAGUAGAAAAGUUUAUGAGUAUUAGUGUUAACUUGGUUUGGUCUAACCUUAGUUGUUUUGCUGGUGCAUCAGUGUUCAAGUAUGGUCCUCCUAGCAAAAUCUCGAGGCCUCACAGCGUGUACCUGCUGCCAAACCUGUACAGCUUCUUGACAUGCGAUUUUAGGGGCGCAACCCGGUUGGCAGGUCUGAAUCAAGGACGUGGAAAUGGCUUCUCGUACGUGCUAAAUCAGGUCAGACCUAACUACUUUGCCAGCGGAGAGGGCGACGACUGCAAGAAAGGAUUGAUGAAAUUCGUUGCCAUACCUCUGUAUCGUCCUCCAUUCCCCUGAUGUGUUUCGCCAAAGCCACAAUCGAUCUGCAACAUGCUUCUUGCUCAAGUAUUGAUUUUAUGUGCGUAGCAUGAUUACGUGCUACUAUUCAAAAAUAAAAAAAAAUUAUAUUGCAGAUGAAAAUUAAGAUUGGAUACGCUUCAUUAUUUGGUUGUUUCAUGUGAUAUUGUAAUAAACUGGAAAAAGUAACAAAUAAAUGCAAUUUAUUUAGUUGUGGUUUUUCUUCUACGUAAGCCUGUUACAUGCACUUGUUACUCAUAAAUUCGUGGUCAUGGGUUUUCAGUUUUCACUCGUUAUUUUAUUUUACAUAAUUUUUUCUUUUGGAGAAAUGAUUUUGCAUAGUUUGCACACUUGAGAUCCUAUUCUUGGAUGCAUCUUGUAUUCCGGGUAAUACCAGUGUCUCGUUCAGUUGCUCACUGGCUAAAUAAAUGAGAGAUAGGGAGACCAUAAUGUCCAAUGGCGGGGACAAUGAUGUCCAAUUUGGGUUGGGGGCAAAAUAAGUACAAGUUUAGAUGGAACAGACUUAAUAUCUGUCCAGUUGUUUAUAUUAAAAUCUUAUUUGCAAAAUCGAGUUGUAAAAUGAGUUAAACUAUUUAAAAUUCAAACUGAGAUCGGAUUGCUAAAAGCUUAUUUGAGCUUGGUUGCUCAACUAUCAAUGUAUCAAAAUCAAGCACGAAUAAGCCAGUCUCGAGUUUGGCUGAAUAAAAGUUCAUUUAUAUUCAACUUGACGAGUAAAUCAUUCAAAUUUGAAUACAACUUUAAACUCGUUAAAAUAAUAGACUUAUGUUGGUUCAGUUUGUUGCGUGAAUUGGUUCGCUAGUUUUUUGACACCAUUCAGCAUACACUAAUAGCCAAGAUUAUUUGUAAAUCAACGUUUUAUAAGUAUGGAAUAGCUUUAGACUCGAACACCGGAAAGCCGGCAAUUGUAAUUGAUUUCUACUCUCCCAAAUGCUAGCUAUGCAGUUCUUUACCUAAUUUUGUCCAGGAAGUCGAGAACAGGAACUCUGAUUGGCUUAAUAUAUAAUGGCUGUUGCAGAAAAUGAUGAUGGUUACUUGAGGUAGGGGCAGCUGCAAGCGCUCUCUGCUCAGCCUCCCCUUGCUCUUGCGAAGUCAAAAUCUUCUUCUUUUCGAUACCCUUUACGUUGGUUCCAGCCUAUAUCUGGAAAGGGAUUUUAAUCAUUGGAUUUGGCGUUUGUGAUAUGUUAUUGACGAAAUCAAAUGCCGCGAAGCCAAGAUUGUGCACUACAAUGGAGAAUAAAAGGAGGUACCUUGAAUUACCAAAUUAAGUCGUCCGGAAAACAAGAAGUAACAGAAAGAAGAAAAUAUACAUUCAACAUUGAAAUAUCCUAAACAUAAAGUUGCUAAGUUCAACUGAUUAUGAUUACCAAGAAAAUCUCUACCUAAUUGCCUAUCAUCUUAAAUUUAAAAAAUUCUAGGAAGUAAUAUAUUUGGAUUAAGCAUGUAGAACACUUCAAUGAAUUGAUUUUUCCAAAAAAAAAAUGCAAUUUAUUAAUUACCUAGCACAAUCUAAGAUAGGGUUGUUGGGGUGGAGGAGAUUAAUUUUGGCAAUGUUUCGAAAACUCAACUAGACCGGCCGGUUCCCGACCGGCCAUGACACUGGUUUGGUUUUAUAUUAAAGUUGACCUUGUCAAAAAAUUGGUCAAGAACCGGUAAAUCCGAGCUUCAGUUUUUCGAUUUUUUCCUCAAUAUUUUUUUAAGUUUUGCAAAAUGUGGCUACCAAGGAUCAAAUUCAGGACCUCUGUGAUACGAAGCCAGCAUAGUAGCCAUUGCACUAUCACAUCCGAUUACUAUCUUUUGAUAACACAUUUAUAUAAGAUAAACGUCUAUCUUUCUUUCCUCCAUUUUCUCUACAAAAUCUCAUUCUCUCAUGACUCUUUUUUUAUAAUCUUCAACUCUCUCUCUCUCUCUCUCUCCUCUUUUCUUUAGUCACCUUCUUUUUAAUCAAAUCUCUUUAGUUUUAAUUUAUUGAUAUUUUCUUCUCUCUUUUAAUUUUAUUUUCGUCUAUUAAAUUGAAAAAAAUUAAAAAACAAUUUUUUUUCUAUAACCCUAAAGAUUAAUUAUUAAAUGCCACCAUCACUCACUUUCAUCUCAUUUUUUGCUUCUUAUCAAGUUUGCAUCUCUAUUUUCGAUUCUCCUGACUUUCUUCAAACUCCAAACUUUAUUUUUUUUUAAGUUGCAAUCUCUAAAUCCCAAAAACGUGAAUUAAAAUUUAAACUCACAAUGUCUAAUUCCCAUAGACAUGAAUUUUGUAUAAUUUCAAAAUAUAGUGAUAUUUUUGGGUUGGAUCUAAGAUUAUUUUUUGGUAGAUAUAAUUGAAAUUGAGAUGAACUUUAUUUGUUUCAACUUAUAAUUUAAAAAAUUUAUUUUUGAAAAUCCAAGUUCGUCGAAAAUAUUAAACUUUUCAUCAUAUAAAGUUUUAAAUUAGUACAUUGCAUGUCUUAUUUUGUGCAUAUAUAUAUAUAUUAUUUUUAAAAAAAUUCAUUGAACCAGGGUUGAAUCGGUCCAAACGGUUGAAUCUUGACUCGAACACCUCAUCGAUUCAAUUAACUAUCCGAGUUUUAAAACAUUGAAUUUUGGGUGGCAAUGGCUUACUAGAGGAGAUGGGGAUUCCAAUUGAGCUGGAUGGUUUUGUUUGUUUUAACUCACCAGUAUUGAUUUAAAUAGAGCAAAUUACCUGAACACCUACUAAACUUUUCAAAGAGUAGAGUUUUAACCAUUCAACUUUUAUGUGUAUAUGCUUACCCACUAAAUAAUCAAAAGUAUAAAUUUUGGAUCAUUCUAUCUAUUUCCACAGUUAAGUUUGUCAUAUCUAAGGAUUGCACGAUAGUUUAGUGAAUAAAUAAAUAAAUAUAUAUUUGUACGAUAGUUUAGUGGGUAAGUACAUACUCGCGCAAUAAUUUAAUAGGUAGAUACAUUUUGUGCUUCCUAAAUUGCCCCUCGACUAUGUCUCAUGAGUUGUGCGAGUCCAUGGUAGAAAUAAACUAAAUGGCCCAAACAUUAUAUUUUUGAUAGUUUAGCGGGUAAAUGCAUACUUUUAAAAAUUGAAUGACCAAAACUCUAUUAUUCGAAAAGUUUAGUGGGUAGCCAAGUAAUUUGCUCAUUUAAGUAAAAUACGUGUCCCAAACUAAAAUGGGUAAUUUAUGUCAAAAUGGGAUUACAAAAUGGGUUUUGGGCUAAUUAAGAGGCCAAGGUUCCUUGAUCGCAAAGUCUGCUUGGUUGAGAACAUUGAAAGAUUCUUCUUCUUCUUUUUUUUUUUGGGAAAUAUUCAAAAGUCUUAAGUAGAAAAAAAAUACAUCCUAGAUAGGCUACUUCUUCUUCUUCAAAUAGGCAAAAUAUUCUUAUUUGAGAAGUUGGCGGUAAUUUCUUGAGAUAAAAUUUCACAACAUGUCCAAACCAAACGUAUAGGAUUCACCAAACAUGAGUCCUGCAUCAACAAUUAAAAGACCAAUAUUUAUUCAAAAUCUUCUUCAACCAAUUCUUUUUCACUUCUUAAUUCAAGAAAUAAAAAGAAACUUGAAAAUGGAAACUCAUACCCAUUUUCUUUUUCAUAACAGUAGUCAACUUGAUCAACUUCAAUGAUCAUUAAUAAUCAUGUCCUUUAAGAGUGGUAAUUCUAUUUUCCUGCCAUCAUGUCUUUGUUGCAUUAAUUUUUGCAAGCAAGAGAGAUGCGCAUAGCCCAUCAUCAAAGGUCUUAUUUUCUCACAGAGAAAUUGAUUUAGCGGCUUGCUGUCACAUUUUCCUUCGUCUAUGCCUUUAUCCUUCCUUUUCAAGAUGGAAGAAAAUUGGAGGCAAGCAAACGAAAUCGUCAAUAUAGGUUUACAGAAACCCAUUUUGACUUGUUUGUUAUAAAGUUUUCUGCAUGCACAUCCUUUCUCGAUUGUCAGACCAAUGAGAAAGAAAAUGUCUUCGAUGGAGCGUCUUAAAACUUCGUUGACAUUCCCGUGCCUGUCAACACAAGUGCAGUUGCUUUUACUGACUUCCGGAGCUCCUCAUAAAGUCAUAAUUGAAUAGCCAUUUUUAUAUAAUUUUUUUUUUACAUCAUAAACACAUUUUUAAUAUUUUUUCUUAUUUUUUUCUAAUCAUCUUUUUAUACCCCAUCCCAAAAACGUAAUAUAUCAUCAUUCCAAAAAAAUAUUUCUUCCAAACAGACAUAUAUAUAUAUGUGUUUGGACAGCCAAUUAUUUGGCCAAAUAUAUUUGCUGACAUCACCAUUACAAUUUCCAAUACACCUUUUUAUCUUCCCAAUUACUUUUUUAUCUCACAUACAUCACAUCACAAAAAGUGCUACAGUAAAAAUAUCUCAAAUAACUUACAAUCCAAACACACUAUUUUAGGGAUGGCAACGGGGGCAGGCAUCCGCGAGGGGGUCAUUGGGGCGGGGGGGAAUUUUUCCCCCCGUUUAGAAAUGGGGCGGGGGGUGGGGGUAUACUCCCCCGCCCCGCCACCCGUUUGAAAUAUAUAUAUACACAUAAUUAUAUAUAUAAUGAUAUUAUCAAUUAUACUACUAAUUAUACAUGUCUAUUAAUAAAAAUUAUUAAUUAUUUAUACUAAAUUUAUUAAUAAUACAUUUAUGUUAAAUUCCUAACUACACUUAAUACAAUAACACUUUUUUCUAAAAAAAACACAAUAAUAAUUUAGUGAUUAUAUUUGUAUCAAAAGUGAAAACUUUAUUAUUUUAGUUAUAUUUGUUUUAUCAUAUUAGAUUGUAUUCAAAUAACCUUUGUUUAACUAUUUUUAUGAGUUUCAAUUGUGAAAUUACAAUGAAUAAUAAUUUGGUGAUGUGUUGAUAUUUUAGUACUUGAUUACUUGCUCAAAUUUAAUUAUAAUGAAAUUAUAUAAUAAAUUUUUUUUAAUCCCACGGGGGAAGCGAGGCGGGGCGGGGGAAGUCGGGGGCGUGGGGAAUUAAAAUGCAACGGGGCGGUGGUUGGGGGAGGUAUCCCCUGCCCCAUUGCCAUCCCUAAUAAUAUUCUUCAUCUUUGAGAAAAACUAAAUCAUGCACCCUGGCCCUUAAAUUUUCCUUGCCAACCAACAACAUUACAUUUAUGCCCACCCUUCCGGCCGUCACAAUUCUUGUAACUAUGCAACCUAAUUUGCUAGAAUUUCAACCUUGAAGCCUCCUCAGGGCAUUAAUGAGAUUUAGACGAAUUAAAGUAGACCAUAUUGCUGUCAAAGGCAUGAAAAUCUAGAAAUUCUGUUGUGCAAUUCUCUCAACGUUACGUAAGAAAACCGGCAAAAUGAUGAUCUUACACAUUCUAUCCUCCGGUCAACAGCUGGGUUUUUUUUUUUUUUUUUAAUCUUGAGAAACAGUCAACAAGAGUUGGAUCAGAUUACCAGGAACAUCUAUAUAAACCGAACUAAAGCAUCCCAAAUUCAUAUCAUCCAUCUGCCUAUACAUCUUAUCACUUCUAGCUUCAUUUGAUUCGAUUACAAACAAUAGAGAUGGCCGUCAGCUUUGGCAAAGGAUUGCUUGUCCUCCUCCUAACCUUAGUAGCCACCUUGGCAAUUAGCCAAGCUGAAACAGUUGUUGUUGGAGGGUCUCAGGGAUGGCGCUACGGCUACAAUUACAAUAAUUGGGCAAAGAAUCACGGUGCCUUUUUCCUCGGCGACACACUAGGUUAGCCUUGUAUUUAUUGUCCGAAAUUUUUAUAGCUACAAAGGCUAGACUGGCGUCUCAGUUGAAUUAGAAAAUCUGAUUCGAUUCAAUUUUGAUAUAUACUUGUUUUUUCAUUCUAGCAUAGGCAAGAUAAAUUGGAUAUACUUUUGAUUGGACAUUCCAAAUCUACUAACAAACUGGUUAAUAUUAUUAAUCUGCUGGAAACCUUUUCUAAGGCUUGUUCUCGGUUGAUUAUCUUACUUUGAUUAUAUAUUCUAAUUUUUAAUAAUCAAUUUUUAAUGCUUUUGUUUGCUUUUACAUCUAAACUUUAGAUUUUUUUAAUGGCUAAAAAAGUUAAAACACAGAAUCUACCAAAGAGUAGCUUUAACUAAUUUUGAUUAUUAGAAAAAUUUAUGAGUAUUAGUGUUGGUUUGGUCUAACCUUAGUUGUUUUGCUGGUGAAUCAGUGUUCAAGUAUGGUCCUCCUAGCAAAAUCUCGAGGCCUCACAGCGUGUACCUGCUGCCAAACCUGUACAGCUUCUUGACAUGCGAUUUUAGGGGCGCAACCCGGUUGGCAGGUCUGAAUCAAGGACGUGGAAAUGGCUUCUCCUACGUGCUAAAUCAGGUCAGACCUAACUACUUUGCUAGCGGAGAGGGCGACGACUGCGAGAAAGGAUUGAUGAAAUUCGUUGCCAUACCUCUGUAUCGUCCUCCAUUCCCCUGAUGUGUUUCGCCAAAGCCACAAUCGAUCUGCAACAUGCUUCUGAAAAAUAAGAUUGGAUACGCUUCAUUAUUUGG